AAGGAUUUAAGUUAAAUAAACUUUUAACCUUCAAAGUUGAUAAUAAGAAUAAAUUCUUAAGCCUUA
rnacentral:tRNA from 1 species